UAAAAACUGCUGAGUGUGUUUCUGUUGUGUUGUAUGUAGGGCCAUAACAUUAAUAUAGUCAUGUUGGUCCAACUACAAAUGAACUACAACUCAGGUGUGAUAUCUAUAGUAAUCUCCAUUGCAUGUAUAUAAAUAUUAAAUCCAACCUGUUUUGAUUCCCCACGCAGGUCUGCAACCCAGAAAUAAUUACAGAACAAGUUAUUGAAGACAUAUGUACCCUAUUGUGAUUCACAGAGACAAAUUAGGUUUGGGAUUGACGAGGAGUCCGAGUUCAUGUUUCGUCAGUUGAAAGAAUUACACAUUUAGAAGUAUUUGGACAGAAGGAAAACGUGUCCACGUGUUCCCACCGUGUUUCUAUGACAACAAGCCUACGUUACAACUUGAGGUAUAUUGCACGUGUGAUUUUGUUGCGUUCUUGCAUCAAAUACUUCAUUUUUAGUUUUUAAUUUUUUUAACGUAUGGUUUUAAGGGUUUUGUAGGGCAACUAUCAAAAUAGCCAUGUUUCCGCCCGGGCGAUAAUUGUGGUCGCACGCAGUCAAAUGGUAUGGCACCUUGUACCUGUUUUAUCUAAACCAAAAUUGGACCUAGUUUCACACGUGAUAUAAAGGUAUGGAGAGUAGCGGCAACGUAGAAAUGAGCAAAUCAGAUAUUUAACGUUAAGAGUCUUUGUAACGUCCUUUUUAUUUACCGUUUGUCAACGUAAAUUUGAAGUAAGUUAAUUAUCCAGUUUGUUUUUAUUUGUUUUCACGUAUAGCUUGACCGUAAUAAUUCAAAUGCGAUGCUCUGUAACACAUAAUAAUAAUAAUUCUAAUUUGGAGGUCUGAAAUUAUAUUUUAAAUCCCUUAUAUUACAAUUUUUUGGUCAUAAAGCUUUUUUCCCGCCCUUUAAGUCUCCAAGACCACCUGAUACUAUUUAGAGAAGCAGCAGUCGUCGGUUACCUGCACAAGCUUUUCCGACUCUGAAGGACGGCAGCAGCUGAAGUGCAGUUUUCGAGCACAUAAGUAAAUAUGGUUUCCAUUCUUUGCUUACAGGCAUCGACAGGUCUGCUUUGUACUGGGCAUCUGCUCAACUGUACUUUGUUUAUGGAGUUUACACAUAGACUGUAAAUAAGACACGGACAGGAACAUCUGUAGCUCCCUCUGGAUCCUGGGGGAGGAACCUGGGAGUACUUCAACUUACCUUCUGGUUUUAGAGAACUGGACCGUCUCCAUUUGGCCCCGGUGCAGCAGACGAGAGAGCUCAGGGAAAGGAGUGAAGAGUACCGUCCAGUCCAGUCUCUCCAAACAAAUACAAGACAUUUACAAAUGUGCACGAGCUAAAUCAGACCUGAGGACACUGUGCAAAUGAAAUGGAUUAUUUUUUAAUAAUCAGUGUUUUUCUGUGCACCGAGGUGUAAUUGAUGACAAACCCUCAGAGAAUUGUCUCCCAGCUCCGUCCACAGCUCUGCAGAAUGAUUUAAUGUUCAAAGUAUUUCCUCCAUGAAGAUGGAAAGGCCAGAGUCAACACUUCAAAGAAACGUUGAGCUGAUUCACGCGAUGAUUUCAGCCCAGCAGAAUGAAGUCUAACUUUUUCCAGCAUGUGACCCAUUUCUAUUUGAGAGAAGAAGAAAAGAAAAAAAAUCAGCAUGUGGAAAACUACAAGACUGCAUUCCUUCACCACCGCAGAUGGGGACUAGCUCUGAGACAAACCUGUGAGUCUAACUUUCCAGCUCAGGAAGGUUCGACAGACGAAUCCUCGCCGGGCAAAGAACUGGACAUAUGGAAAAAAAACAAACUAUCGUUUGAUUCUCAGGCAUGAAGAGACAAAACGUAGCCAUCGGAAGCUGUUACAGCGAGAGG